UGCCCAGCAACUCCUAUCCCUAUCUCCUUACGGUACUAAUCGGGGUACGAAUAAUCUUAGGGAAGAUCGGGUAACCAACCCCGGUAGGAACUUUGAUCGUGUGCUUACAGGGAAGG
rnacentral:ribozyme from 1 species